rnacentral:rRNA from 1 species
AACGCGAAGAACCUUACCUACUCUUGACAUCCUCGGAAUCCCCUAGAGAUAGGGGAGUGCCUUCGGGAGCCGGGAGACAGGUGCUGCAUGGCUGUCGUCAGCUCGUGUCGUGAGAUGUUGGGUUAAGUCCCGUAACGAGCGCAACCCUCGCCCUUAGUUGCCAGCGGAUAAUGCCGGGAACUCUAAGGGGACUGCCGGUGAUAAACCGGAGGAAGGCGGGGAUGACGUCAAGUCAUCAUGGCCCUUACGAGUAGGGCUACACACGUGCUACAAUGGGGAGUACAGAGAGUCGCCAAGCCGCGAGGUGGAGCUAAUCUCACAAAACUACCCGUAGUUCGGAUUGGAGUCUGCAACUCGACUCCAUGAAGCUGGAAUCGCUAGUAAUCGCGAAUCAGAAUGUCGCGGUGAAUACGUUCCCGGGCCUUGUACACACCGCUCGCGA